rnacentral:rRNA from 1 species
UAACACGUAAAGAACCUACCUUAUAGACAGGGACAACUAUUGGAAACGAUAGCUAAUACCUGAUAAGAAAGAAACUCGCAUGAGAGAAGUUCGAAAGUCGGAGCAAUCUGACACUAUAAGAUGGCUUUGCGGUGCAUUAGCUAGUUGGUAGGGUAAAAGCCUACCAAGGCGACGAUGCAUAGCCGACCUGAGAGGGUGAUCGGCCACAUUGGGACUGAGACACGGCCCAGACUCCUACGGGAGGCAGCAGCA